CCCUAUUAUACUAUGAAUUAAGUAAAAAGUUAAUAAGGUAUAAUAAAAAUUAAAAAUUUUGGCGGUUAAUUAUAGAAUUAGAGGAGCUUGUUUUGGGUAAGAAUUUACUCUUUAAAUUUUAAUAAUUAAAUUUUAGGUUUAUUCAUUUCUGUUGUUAAAAGAUUAUUUUAUAAUAAAUUUUAUUUAAGAUUUCAGGUCAAGAUGUAAUAUUUUAAUAUAAAGAAAUUAGCUACAAUUAUUUAAUUAUUGGAUAUAAAUUUAAAACUUUUUGUAUAAAAUUGAAUUUAGCUGUAAUAAAAUUUAGAAUAUUAUUAUGAUUAAAAUUGUUAAUGU
rnacentral:rRNA from 1 species